AAAAUGUUUUAGUUUGUUAUUUUUUGUUAAAGAUAUUUAAAAUUUGAUUUUUGAACUGGAUUAGUACCCAGGUAAUCAAAAUUUAUUAAUUCGGGAGUAAAGUUUUGUUUAAACCGAAAAAAUAUUGACUGACCUUAGAUUUUUCUUUGGAACAUGUGUUGUGGAUAGUCCUCCUUUUUUGUCUAUUUUAUUUGCCCAUGUAUGAUUGUUUAGUUUUUACAUUUUUUGUGAUGCUCUAUCAUUUGUUGUUAUAAAACAGAUAUAUAUUUGGUUUAUAAAUUGAUUUUUCA
rnacentral:rRNA from 1 species